GCCGCGCCCGACGGCGGGGGGCGCGCUGGGGCCCGGGCGGCGGAGGCCCGGGGCUCCCGGCAGCGGCGCGGGAGGGAGGAGACAGCGAGGCCACGCCGGGCCCCGGGGCGUCCCGGGAGGUGUCGACGCGCUGGCGCCUAGAGGCGCCCCGGGCGAGGCAGCGCUCCGAGCGCCCUUGAACGUCACCCGCGGAAAUCCUCGUGGGCAGGGCGGCGCCGAGGGCGCGGGCGUCCGCGCGGGUCUCCCCAUCCGGGGAAGGUGUUCCUGGGACCCGACUUGUCUGGCGAACCCCCCAGCGCGGGGGUCGGGCUUCUCCGCGCGGUCCCGGACCCAGUGUUGAUGUUUUCCGUGGAAAAGGGCGAGACAUGAAGGCCGAAAGCCUAGGUCUCAGUUUAAGACAAGUUUAGCGACGCAGGUGAAGGCGAGGCCUGGCGAACCAUCUGUGGUUGUGCAAUUGGAGGGUCCCCGGGAGGCUCCCGGCCGCCUGCGUGCGUUGGGGGCCCGACCUUCCUGACGCUGAGCCCCGCGCUUUCUCCGCACCCCGGACCCGACUUCUCGUGUGAAAUGGGACGAGCAGGCACCUCACAGGGGUCAGUGGCUGGAGCACCUGGCUGGGCGGGGCAGUGCCGGGCACUUGGCCCUGGUGGGUGAAGGGGCUGCUCCGAGGCCAGCAUAUGCCCCGUCUCUUAGGCAGAGUAGAAGCGCUGCAGGCAGACCGCUGCAGACCACCGGUGUUGGUCUCCAGGAGCCCCCAAACCCCACCUGGCUGCCCCAAGGGUUGCCACUCCUGUUGGGAGGCGGUGGGAGUAAAAGCCAUCCCUGCGGUGACCUUGGCCGUGUCAGCUAUAGGGGCAUUCCUCGGGGGUCCCCGCAGAGGUCCACUUGCCCGGUGUCCUCCCACCCGAGAAGGGCUUGGAGUUCUUGACCUCCUGAGGUGCCCUACGGAGUGUCUGGCCAGGCCUCUUUUGCCCUCUUUGCCAUCCCCAGCGGGUCACCUGCGUGGGGGAGUUGGUGGCAGAACCGGAGGGAAGGGUUUCUCGGCGUUGGUCGGCCGGCCUGCCUGAAGAGGCCAGGGAGCCCCGUCUUCUGGCCUGGAAGGUGGGCUGCGGACAGAAGCCGGCCUCAGACUGGUCCCGGGGCCAGCGCAUCUUGGCGUGCCCGUUGGUAUACUGUGGAGGGCCCGUCAACACGGCCAGCCAGGAGCCAGGAGCCAGGAACUGAGCAGCUGGCAACUUUGUGCAAAAUCAGAGUUAGCCCUUAACCAGAGGGAGUCCUCGCGCUGCGGAGCGGCUGCCGGUACUGAGGGGCUUGGCUGCUGCCCCCUCCUCACUCCCUCCUGGGCCUGCUCCUCCCAAGGUUCCCUGCGUCGGAGGCACUCCCAAGGGGCUGGACUGCUGUGAAUCCGGGGAGAGGAAAUCCCAGGGCAAAAUACCGCCAAAAACCGAAAUCAGUCAAAGGGAGAAAUAAAGUUUAA